GGUGAGCGCUGGCGGCGUGCUUAAGACAUGCAAGUCGAACGGCAGUCUUCGGACUGUAGUGGCGCACGGGUGAGUAACGCGUAACUGACCUACCCCAAAGUCGCGGAUAACGAUUCGAAAGAAUCGCUAAUACGUGAUGUGCUGUCAGAUUGUGUUCUGCCAGUAAAGAUUGAUUGCUUUGGGAUGGGGUUGCGUUCCAUCAGCUAGUUGGUGGGGUAAAGGCCCACCAAGGCGACGACGGAUAGCCGGCCUGAGAGGGUGGCCGGCCACAGGGGCACUGAGACACGGGUCCCACCCCUACGGGAGGCAGCAGUUAGGAAUCUUCCACAAUGGGCGAAGGCCUGAUGGAGCGACGCCGCGUGAGGGAUGAGGGUCUUCGGAUCGUAAACCUCUGAAUCAGGGACGAAAGACACUUCGGUGGGAUGACGGUACCUGAGUAAUAGCACCGGCUAACUCCGUGCCAGCCGCCGCAGUAACAC
rnacentral:rRNA from 1 species